UGGGGAAUANUGGNNNAUGGACCAAAAGUCUGAUCCAGCAAUUCUGUGUGCACGAUGACGUUUUUCGGAAUGUAAAGUGCUUUCAGUUGGGAAGAAAAAAAUGACGGUACCAACAGAAGAAGUGACGGCUAAAUACGUGCCAGCAGCCGCGGUAAUACGUAUGUCACAAGCGUUAUCCGGAUUUAUUGGGCGUAAAGCGCAUCUAGGUGGUUAUGUAAGUCUGAUGUGAAAAUGCAGGGCUCAACUCUGUAUUGCGUUGGAAACUGCAUGACUAGAGUACUGGAGAGGUAAGCGGAACUACAAGUGUAGAGGUGAAAUUCGUAGAUAUUUGUAGGAAUGCCGAUGGGGAAGCCAGCUUACUGGACAGAUACUGACGCUAAAGCGCGAAAGCGUGGGUAGCAAACAGGAUUAGAUACCCUGGUAGUCCACGCCGUAACGAUGAUUACUAGGUGUUGGGGGUCGAACCUCAGCGCCCAAGCUAACGCGAUAAGUAAUCCGCCUGGGGAGUACGUACGCAAGUAUG
rnacentral:rRNA from 1 species